rnacentral:misc_RNA from 1 species
AAGAUGUGUAUAAGGGACAGGUGAGUCAUCGAAUCUUUGAACGCACAUUGCGCCCCCUGGUAUUCCGGGGGGCAUGCCUGUCCGAGCGUCAUUACAACCCUCAAGCUCUGCUUGGUGUUGGGCCCCGCCGCCCCGGCGGGCCCUAAAGUCAGUGGCGGUGCCAUCCGGCUCCGAGCGUAGUAAUUCUUCUCGCUCUGGAGGUCCGGUUGUGUGCUUGCCAUCAACCCCCAAUUUUUUUCAGGUUGACCUCGGAUCAGGUAGGGAUACCCGCUGAACUUAAGCAUAUCAAUAAGCGGAGGA